UAAAAACUGAAUCAACUUCUAAAAAUACUUUUAUAUUAUACUAUUAUAGGAUCUGGAGAAAAACCUGCUAAGUGGGCAUGUUCUGUCUAACAAAAUGUAUCUGUGGAAACACAAAGGAUUUGAUCCUCUCCUCAGAAAACAUUACAGCAAACAUGUGACUUUAUUCAAUGACAUGAAGGUAUGUAGACUGUUCUCUUUUGGUCUUAUUUGUGGACACAACUCCUGGUCUUCAAUCGCAAUCACAAUAGUAUGUGACUGGAACAUACAUUGAAGUCACGGAUCUUUACAGAUAUAUUCCAUAUCACAAUGAAAAUGUUUAGCAUAUUAACUAUUUGUAUUUGAAAGACCAAAUUUAUAAGAACCUUAUAUAAGGACAACAUGAAGAAGAAAGCUAUAGUAACCGAGCACAUUAACUAUUUUGAUUUUGAAACUAAUAUCCUGUCAUUUUUGGGAAGGAAACCUUUUUAGUCAGAUGAAUGCUGGUUAUACAGGGAAGGAUUGACAUUACUUUUCAGGCAGAGGAGGGGGAACGGGAGUAAUGAAUAAUUAAAAUGUUGCCUUGACUGUGCAACAUUUUACAAUUUUCUUUGUUAACCCUUCUUAAUAUCCCCUGUCAAAUUGUUUUCAUGCUUUUUACUUACUUAAUACCACAGACAGACAAGGUUUAUCCAGAGACUGGAAAAAAUACUGAUAGUACCUGGAACUGUAGUUGAGAAGCAGCUAUUCAUAACAGAGGUCAUUUUACCAGAGAAUCUGUGCUUCUAACCACCAAACCUUCAAAGAAAAAGAAAGGAGCUGCAAGAAAGGCAGCUGAAGAAACCGAGACCACCGAAGAGGAAAACCUUCUUAUCCUACAUAGCCUGGCUGCAGCUGACUGGUGCGAUAAGGCAACAUUCAAUGGAGGACUGAAACUCCCUGCUGUCCUUUUUAUGGACAGAGAAGAAAGAAAAGAAGCCAUCCAGGAGAUGGACACCUGGGAUGGGGAACUGGAUGAGGAUUCUCCAGCAGAACUUUGUACAUUCGUUUUUGAAAGAAAAAAGGACUAUGACAACUUCUGGGAAGAAUGUGUUGAUAAAAACAAUUACAGACUGUUUACAAGAUUUGAGGAACAGUGAUUGUUAAAAUAUUUU
ensembl:lncRNA